GAGCAAAUCACAAGGCAAACUCAGAUUCAAAGGAAUGAGGAAAUAGCCUCUUGAUGGGAUGAGGUUCAAAGUUCCACUGCAAAACACAUGAAACAGAGAGGCAGGAAAAACAGGAAUAAUGCCUGCAAUCAAUCAAUCUGCCACAGUAAAAUAGCACAAGGUGCCAAGGGAGCAUAUAGAACAUGCAUAUAUUCCAGCCUAGAAAGUCAGCUCUUUCCCAGAGGCUGCAAUUUCUGGGCUUAAUCUUGAAUGAUGGUUGUCACUGAAAAGGCUCAAGGAGCUCUCUUGUUCCUUCCACCAUCUGAGAACACAGUGAGAAGUCCCCAGGCUUCAACCUGAAAAAGGGCCCUCAUCAGAACCUGAUCAUCAGAACUUGGCACCCCAAUCUUUGUCUUCUGAUCUACAUUGUGACCUAAGUCAGAACUUUCACAUGACGUGAAACUUAACUUCAUUCAGCACUGUACUCCCAUAGCACCUCACUGGAAAGGCAUUCCCUGGCAACCUUCUUUAUAAUGAAGGUAACUUAUCAAGAUGGAUAUCAGGUGCCAGAAGAUGUGUUCAACUGAUAAAGAUUCAACUUGGAAAGGGAUCUACUUACUUCCUGAUAAUAUGCAACAAAACAGAUACAAGGGAUCAGUUGGUUGAAUCCAUGGAUGCAGAACUGACUGAUAUGAAAUGAAGACUCCAUGUUGCCAAUUUUACAUAUGAAAAUUAAAAGACGUGUGGUAGUACAUUAUUUUUAAAAAUUUAGAGGCCAUUUUAAAAAAAAGAUUGGAGGUUGCUUUAACCACCCAAUCUGGAUAAGAUGUGCCAUCUUGUAGUUCUUGUGAUUCCUUCUAUCAGAGAAUUUGCUACAACAUUUUUGUAACAGUCUAUUUACUUAUCUGCAUCCUUCACUAAAUAGGAAGCUCUUGUUGCCAGAAACGAUGUUUUGUGUAAGCAGUCUUGAGACUGAGAUUGUUAAUGAAUGUUUUUCUGGCUGAAUGAAUGCACA
rnacentral:lncRNA from 10 species